AACGAACGUUGGCGGCGUGCUUAAUACAUGCAAGUCGAGCGAGAACGGAGGGGCAACUCUCCUAGUACAGCGGCGAAAGGGUGAGUACAACGUGGAAAACGUACCCUCAGGCUCGGGAUAACCCAGGGAAACUUGGGCUAAUACCGGAUACCAUCGCGACGGGGCAUCCCGUUGCGAUCAAAGACGCAAGUCACCAGAGGAGCGUUCCACGGCCUAUCAGCUAGUUGGCGGGGUAACGGCCCACCAAGGCGAUGACGGGUAGCCGGACUGAGAGGUCGACCGGCCACACGGGAACUGAGACACGGUCCCGACAUCUACGGAUGGCAGCAGUAGGGAAUAUUGCGCAAUGGGCGAAAGCCUGACGCAGCGACGCCGCGUGGGGA
rnacentral:rRNA from 1 species